rnacentral:lncRNA from 1 species
GCCCCAUGUGAUUCUGAUUUACAGCAUUUGUGCUUGCAGGUGAUGUGCCACUGUGGUGCUGAAAGAUGUGUUCCCUCCAUGGUUGCGAUCACCGAUCAUCUGUGCUUGCAAUCAGUGUGCAGUUCGUCGGCCAUUCUGUAUUCUGCAGUUUUUAUACAGGGCAAGGACAAGCGGAUAUCCGAUCGUUGCGGAGUAGUUCUGAUGGCUAUAAAUUUUGUCACGCUGUAGCUUAUCAGUAAGCUACUGCAUUGUAUCGUGUGAACUGUGAACUAAAGAUUAUGAUAAUGAUAUAUUUCCGCUUGGAGCCCUAAUUGUUUCUAUGUUUGAUCGACAAAUUACUUACCAGCAAGCUAACCUGCUCAUGAAUGCCCCUGGUUUCAUCACGCUUUAAGCCGCGAAGCUUUGGCAGCCAUAGAGCUACGGUUAGCCAUAGUAAGAUUCUUAUAGACAAACAUUAGCCACUACUCUUGGUACCACAUGGGCAGUACUCUUGUUUUACUUUUUAUGGGGUGACAUGGCUCGCCAUUGCCAGGACAAAACAUAUGACUGUAUACAUUGCCAGCAGAUUUGAUCUUCAGUGAUAUAAAACAUACAAUUCCAAUUCCAAGGUCAGGUAGCAUAAGGAGAUUAACUUCAUUCUUAAAUAAGAAUGAACAAAAAAAUACGGUGAGGAGAAAAAUUGCGCAUCCAGGGAAUCGAACCCUGGUCAGUAGCGUGGGAGGGUACUAUGAUACCACUACACCAGAUGCGCUUGGUUGCCUUUUGACCAUUGAUUACGGCUAAUAAACAUUAGUACUCUAAAAUCCAGUGCACAGCUAUCCUAUGUUUCAAAUUUAACUAAUAAUAAAAGAUUCUAAUUAGUGGUCGGAGAUAUAAAGGUUUCACUGCACGCCUUUAGAAACGUCAUGUAGUUCUGAAUAGAACUACUAGUAUAUGUUUCGUGAGAGCUCAAGGGUUAAAAAUCUAGUGAUGCAGUCAGGCCAAGGCCAAGGAGGUCCUGCCACGUGUCGCAUGGGCCCCAUCCCGUGAGGAUAAUGGGAGCCAGCGUGGCGCCGUGGCCGGCCAAUGGAAUGGAAGCAAGCCUCACCCUAUCCACACGCCCACCGCAGCGCCGUUUUCCCUCCACAGCAUCCUCCACGAUCAAAAACAAAACCAUCACCACGCCCCCCUCCCCUGAGGCCACACACGCGCACGAACACACACCAGAUCAAUCAAGAAAACCCCGAGAGGAUCAUGGCCGGCGUGAACACCAGUGUGGUCGGCCUCAAGCCCGCCGCGGCGGUGCCGCAGUCCGCCUCGCCGGCGGCGGCAAAGCGCGUGCAGGUCGCCCCGGCCAAGGACCGGCGGUCGGCGCUUCUCGGCCUGGCGGCGGUCUUCGCCGUCACGGCCGCCUCCGCCGGGUCGGCCAGGGCAAGCGUCUUCGACGAGUACCUCGAGAAGAGCAAGCUCAACAAGGUCCGCUCUGUUUCCUUCCUUCCCUGUCAUCACCGUCAGUUUGUUGCUCAUUUCUCAUCGGAGUUUGACGAUCUUUUUUUAUGGUUUUUGCGCGUGAUCAGGAGCUGAACGACAAGAAGAGGGCGGCGACGAGCGGCGCCAACUUCGCGCGCGCCUACACCGUCCAGUUCGGCAGCUGCAAGUUCCCCUACAACUUCACCGGCUGCCAGGACCUCGCCAAGCAGAAGGUAGCUCUCCUGUUUAAUUAACUCUCCAUGGCCGGAUGAACUCUAAGCUCUGGCUGGCUGACGAUCAUGUCUUCUUGUGUGGUCGCAGAAAGUCCCGUUCAUCACCGACGACCUGGAGAUCGAGUGCGAGGGGAAGGAGAAGUUCAAGUGCGGAUCCAACGUCUUCUGGAAAUGGUGAAGCUCAUCGAUCUGCCAGGCAAUAUGGCGAGUGCUGAUGUACGCCAGCGCACCGCGUGUACCUAGAUGUUCAAAGCUGCGCACGUGUUUCGACUGUGAAGUUAUCGUCGCUGUAAUUUUAUCAUCAAGUGGAAUUCUGUAAUUUUAUCAGGCUUGUCAGAACACAAACAUUCAUCAGUUAGAAUCUUUCAAGAAAGCUGCUUAGGCAAAUUCGAGAUCAGAUAGGAAAACGCAAAAAAUUUAUACUCCUACAUAGUAACACCUAAAGAAGAUAGUAUCAUCAUAAGUAUAAGAAAUAUUCAUGUUGUUGAACCUUGAUUAAAUACCUGCCAGCUACGUCAUCCAGGAUAAUUCCUCCUAGUUAAAUUCCCAAGGUUAGGUUACAACACAUAGAUUAAUUUUGUUUUUGAUUAUACGAAUGAGCAAUCGAAAAAAAACAAAAAUAUGCGCAUCCAGGGAAUCGAACCCUGGUCAGUACCGUGGGAGGGUACUAUGAUACCACUACACCGGACGAGGCUCCUCUGCCGUUCGGCAGGGUGCCGUUCCAUCCCUGACAGGUGGGCUCAUUAAAAAACAGGCCCACAUGGCAGUGCCACAACUGCAGGUGAUGUACGUCAGGGGAGCCGCUUCCCACUACACCAGAUGCGCUUGUCUGGCACUGAACCUUGAUGAAGCUAACUGUAGUGUACAGAAUAAAUUCCAAAGUCCGUUGUACAACUUGAACGUACUAGUACGCCGGUACGUGCGUGGCACGUAUUCAAUUCAUGGAUACAAAUCUUUCAUCUGAUUUUUCGCAAAAGAAAAAGCAAACACACGACUCUUGAAAAUUCUAACAAAUAACCUUUAUGCUUUGUUUCUUAUCUCUCUCCCCCCCCCCACCCCCCACAAAAGUUGUUGUGACAGUUAUCAUACCACUUAUCACUCCUACCGUGGGUGGUUUUGAUGCAAAUGUAAUAAAGUUUUGUUUAGUGAUGCAUGCCAUAUAAAAGAAUUAUCAUAUAAUCACAUUUAUUCUUGGAAGAAUAAUAUUUUUUAUGGUUGUAAACACACUAAAAAUUUAUCAGUCUCAGAUAUUAGUAUCGUGUUAUACUCCAAAAAACGUAAUAUUCUGCAUAAACGGGAAAGAGUUUGGCCACAUAAAAUCCUGUGAUGUCUUUACCACACGUGAAAAGCAACAACUUGCCACACACACCAUCCUCUGUUAUUUGCGUAUGGCCACAAGAAAUCCUAUGGUGCUAACGUAUGAGAAGAUCAAAGAGUGGAUCACAGAACACUGGAGUGGCUGCAAACCGCAGCGCUGCAUGUACAGGAAGUGUCGAAGCAGCCCACAAUAAACAAUUCCGGAGGUUCUAGAUUUCUUCAGAGUGUAGUACGCAUGCACAGUGAGUACUACUGUAGAUGCGAAUCCCUCUACUUUGGGCCAUAGGAUUGAUGUCAUCAACGGCGGAAAAUGCUUCUAAGACUUCGGAUUCAAAAUUUUAAAACUCGUACACUAUGUAGUAGUAUAGAUAGUAUAGAUAUAGAUAUGUAUCCUAUGGUUCAAAUUUAUCUUGAUAGUCCACUAGUAAUUUAUUAAUUAGUGGUAGAAAGAUAUAGAAGUUGCCCUACAGGCUUCGUAGAAAACUUCAUCUAAUUUAGAAUGGAGCUAGUAUAGGUAUAGCAAAUGAGCUGUUGCGCGAGUCAAGUCAGUAGAAGGUUUUUCUUUAGACAAGUGAGUGGGAGGAGGUGUUUUGGUCUCUAAUCGUUCAUGAGCAAAAAUGAGUGACUCUACAUUCGCCGGUUUUUGUUUUACUUAUCUCCCCGACUACUAAUAAUAUUAAACAAGCGAAUUGUGGUAGAAACAUUAAAUACCAGCCUUUCAUUAUCUUAGAUCCGAUGACCUAUAUUGCUCAAAUAAUGUUGUCGCAAUAAAGCAUCGUAAUUAGCAAUCAAAGCAUCGGAGUGACAAUCAAAUCACGGUAAUUGGCGUUCCCAAAAAGGAACAUCGUGUCAAUAAAUCAAAUCACCGUAAUUAGCAUUCUAAAAAUAAACAUUGUACCAAUGAAUCAAAGCACCGUAAUUAGCAAUCAAAAAGUGAACAUCGUAACUUGGAAUGUUUCUAAACUAGUCGACCUGAUCCUUAGACCACGACCCUAUAAGCCGCGAAUUGUGCCACCGCGGCGUCUUGCCAACACUGCCGGAGAUAUUGAUAUUCACCGCUUGCAAGACUGAGUAAGUAAAUUGAAGAAGCAAAAAAAGGCCAGCUUGGUGCAUAUAGCUCCCGCUUGUGGAGGGUUUGAGGAAGGGUUCGUCCGCUUUGGGUCUUUUGUACAUAGCCUUAAAUUUUGGAUUGUGUGAUGCAUGUACAUAACUCCCAAGUGAAGCUUAAUGUGUGACGUGAAGACCAACAAGUAAAAAUCAGGGAGUCCACAAUAAGAAAUUGGAGGGGUAGUGGGGACAAGAACCCGAAAGGCUAUGUAUUUCUGACAGUUAGUUAGCGCUCGCCUAUAGGGCGAAGAACGUGGAACAGCCCAGUCGCGACACGAACAGGAACUACUCCCACGAUUUUUUGUUGUUUUUUCAAUUUGUUUUCAACCAGUCUUUAAUCUUUCUUAUUUCUUUUCAUGUUUUAUUUUAUUUUAUUUUUCCUUUUCCUUUCCUUUUCUUGUUCAUCCAUUUUAGUUUAUUUUUUUGUUUAAUUACAUGAACAUUUUUAUAAAAUAUGGUGAACAAAUUUGGAAUUACAUUUUUUCGUAUCCUGUUUUAUUUAAAUACAAGAUCAUUUUUACUUUCAUUUAUUUUUCUAACUUUUCUUUGUUGGUUCUUUUCUAUUAUUGUCCUUUCCAUCGUGUAUUUAAAAAGGUUCAUAUUCCCAAAUUGUUGGUUGUGUUAUCAAAAUUAUUCAUUGUGUACCUAAAAAAAGUUCAUUAUGAAUUUUAAAAAUGGUCAUCGUGUUUACAGAAAGUAAUGGUAGUAUUUGUGAAAAAGGCCGCCCAUCAUGCAUUCAAAAAAUGUUCAUCUAAUAUUAAAAAAAUGUUCAAUGUGUAUUUGAAAAUUUUGUAUAUGUUUCUAAAAAAUGUCCUUUGUGCUUGUCACAUAUUUCAAAACAAGUAUGGCAUGUUGUAAAAAUAUUCAGCAUGAUUUUUAAAAAUAUGUUCAUUGUGUGUUUUAAAAAUUGUCCUUUUAAAAACAAUGCUAACUCUGAUCUUAGAAAGUUUUAUCAUGCGUUUCCUAAAUGUUUAUAACAUAUUUUUGAAAACAAAUCAUUGUGUAUUUAAGAAAGGUCAUAGUCUUUUCAAAUAAGCAUUGUUGUGUAUUUAAAAAAUAUAAUUUUAAUUAGAAAACAUAUUCAUUGUGUAAGAAAUGUAUUUCUAGAAGAUUUCAAAAAAUCAUCAAAAUAGAAAAAUAAAUGUGAAAAAUCAAACCAGAAGGAAAAAACCUGGUGCCGCUUGUUUUUUAAUUCUUUUUAUCGAAAGUGCCGCUAGUGCGCUGGAAUUCCUCAAAGGGGACACACAUGCGAGUGGUCGCUGAGGGAGUCCUGGAUUAGGGGGUCCUCGGGCGUCCGGGCUAUGCGACAUGGGCCGGACUCAUGGGCCGUGAAGAUGCAAGAUAGAAGGCUCUCUCCCGUGUCCAGAUAGAACUCUCCUUGGCGUGGAAGGCAAGCUGGGCGUGCGGAUAUGAAGAUUCCUUUCUCUGUAAAUCGAUUCUGUACAACCCUAGCCCCCUCCGGUGUCUAUAUAAACCGAAGGGUUUAGUCCAUAUAGGCAAUCAUAAUCAUACAUGCUAGACAUCUAGGGUUUAGCAUCAAGAUCUCGAGGUAGAUCAACUCUUGUAACCCCUAUACUCAUCAAAGUCAAUCAAGCAGGAAGUAGGGUAUUACCUCCAUCGAGACGGCCCGAACCUGGGUAAACAUUGUGUCCCCUGCCUCCUGUUACCUUCGAUUCUUCGACGCACAGUUCGGGACCCCCUACCCGAGAUCUGCCGGUUUUGACACCGACAGUCGCUGCGUGUUGCUAUGAGAGCUCCUAAUUGGCGCUUUCAGCGGCCCUGAGCGCUCGUGGUGCUCGCGCCCGACGCCUAGCGGGCCGGCCCAACAACGUUCUAAAAAACAAAAGCAAAGAAAAGAAAUAUUCAGCGUUAAAAAAUGAGGGACCCGACUAGCUGGCGCCUGAGUGCCCGUUCGCUCCAGCGAGUGCCCUGCUAUAUUAGGAAAGAAAGCGAUGGCGCCCGAGCGGACACGAGAAAAAGGAAAGCGCGCGUCCGGACCCGACUAGCUGGUGCCCCACGCUUCGUCGCUCCUGUCGUCGGACCCCACCCCCUCCCACACCCCCGCCCACGCUCCCUUGCUCACGCGACUCACGCGGCUUCACGCGCCUCACGCGACCCCCUCCUACCUUUUCCUUGAAGCACAAGCCCACGCAAGGGUCCCCUUCUUCCUCCUUGCUCCUCCUUUCUUCCUCUAAACAAGAUCUGCCCCAUCAAUGGCGUCUUGAAGAACAAAGCCGACGCAGGAACGCAUCCUGUGUAACACCCCAGUGUCAUGCUACAGUAGCUCACUGUGAUUAAGCUAAUCAUUUUUCCAAACAGUGCUUAAUCACCUUUGUUCAAUAUCCCAUUUGAAAUUCCAGUCAAUUCAAAUUCAAGUGAAGUUUGAAGUUCCUAAAAAAUUGCUGGAAAAAUGUUCAUCAGUUGUCAAAAUUUCCAUAACAAUUAUUUGUUAAGGAACACAACAUCACUUUUGUGCAAAGAUGAGCAGUAGCAAUAAUAACAGCACCAAUUGAGCAUUUUUAAAUGCAAUCCUAUUUAUGAAAAAUACCAAAUGAAUUCUUUUGGUCUCCAAAUUGUUUGUGGCACUUCCUAAGAUCACCAGGGAAUAAAAGGGGCACUUCCCAUAUUUUUCCCAAGUAAAUAGCAUGCCCAACAUUUUCUUACCCAUCUCUGUUUAUUAAAUAAAAAGAAAAACAAGAUAAGAAAAGAAAAAGGCCGAAGUGCACUGUGCACUUAGGCCUGCUAACUACAGUGAGGCCCAACCCACCUACCCCUCUCCUUCCUACUCUGUUCACAAAGGGGAGGUGGACGACGGCCAGCCGCCUGAUAACCCACAAGUAUAGGGGAUCAAUUGUAGCCUCUUUCGAUAAGUAAGAGUGUCGAACCCGACGAGGAGCUAAAGGUAGACCACAUAUUCCCUCAAGUUCUAUCGACCACCGAUACAACUCUACGCACACUUGACGUUCGCUUUACCUAGAACAAGUAUGAAACUAGAAGUACUUUGUAGGUGUUUUCGGAUAGGUUUGCAAGAUAAUAAAGAGCGCGUAAAUAAAAACUAGGGGCUGUUUAGAUAAGGACACAAUAAAGUAAAUAUAGCGAGUGUGGAAAAGUGGUGGUAGGAGUUGCGAAAUUGUCCCUAAGCAAUUGACUACUUUACUAGACCGAUAGCAAGUAUCAUGUGGGAGAGGCCACUGCUAGCAUGUCAUCCCUUACUUGGAAUUCUAUGCUCUUAUGAUUGGAACUAUUAGCAAGCAUCCGCAACUACUAACGUUCAUUAAGGUAAAACCCAACCAUAGCAUUAAGAUAUAUUGGUCCCCCUUUAAUCCCGUAUGCAUCAAUUUCUAUGCUAGGCUGAAGCUUCUGUCACCCUUGCCCUCCAAUACAUAGUCCUAUCAACAUACAACUAACCCUAUGGUGUGAUCCACACGCGCUCUCAUAUGAUGGGCACCAAAGGACUGCAACAUAACCACAAGCAAAUUAAAUCAAUCAUAGAAAUUCAUCAACCACCGAUAGGACAACAAAAAUCUACUCAGACAUCAUAGGAUGGCAACACAUCACUAGAUAAUAAUAUGAAGCAUAAAGCACCAUGUUCAAGUAGAGGGUACAGCGGGUUGCGGGAGAGUGGACCGCUGUAGAUAGAAGGGGGAAAGGUGAUGGAGAUGUUGGUGAAGAUGGCGGAGGUGUUGGUGAAGAUCGCGGUGAUGAUGAUGGCCCCUGGCGGCGUUCCGGCGCCACCGGAAGCGAGGGGGAGAGAGCCCCCCUCCUUCUUCUUCUUCCUUGACCUUCUCCCUAGAUGGGAGAAGGGUUUCCCCUCUGGUCCAUGGUCUCCAUGGCGUGGGAGGGGCGAGAGCCCCUCCAAGAUUGGAUCUGUCUCUCUGUCUUUCUCUGUUUCUGCGUUCUUCCUGCCGCCCUUUCACCGUUUCGUGUAUAUAUGGAGAUCCGUAACUCCGAUUGGACUGAAAUCUUCGCCGUGAUUUUUUUCUUCCAAAAAUUAGCUUUCUUGCGGCGGAAGAAGGGCAUCAACCGCCUUACGGGUGGCCCACGAGGGUCAGGGGUGCGCCCAGGGGUGCAGGAGCGCCCCCUACCUCGUGGCCACCUCGGGCACCGUCUCGCGUGAUUCUUCUUUCGGAAUUUUCCAAAUAUUCCAAAAUAUUCUCCAUACGUUUUUAUCCCGUUUGAUAUGGGGUUUCUGUGAAACAUAAAACAUGCAACAAACAGGAACUGGCACUGGGCACUGGAUCAAUAUGUUAGUCCCAAAAAUAGUAUAAAAAGUUGCCAAAAAGUAUAUGAAAGUUGUAUAAUAUUGGCAUGGAACAAUAAAAAAUUAUAGAUACGAUGGAGACGUAUCAGCAUCCCCAAGCUUAAUUCCUGCUUGUCCUCGAGUAGGUAAAUGAUAAAAAGGAUAAUUUUUUGAUGUGGAAUGCUACCUAGCAUAAUCUUGAUCAUAUGUCUAAUCAUGGCAUGAAUAUUAAGAUACGAGUGAUUCAAAGCAAUAGUCUAUCAUUUGACAUAAAAACAAUAGUACUUCAAGCCUACUAAUAAAGCAAUCAUGUCUUUUCAAAAUAACAUGGCCAAAGAAAGUUAUCCCUACAAAAUCAUAUAGUCUGGCUAUGCUCCAUCUUCACCACACAAAAUAUUCACAUCAUGCACAACCCCGAUGACAAGCCAAGCAAUUGUUUCAUACUUUUGAUGUUCUCAAACCUUUUCAACUUUCACGCAAUACAUGAGCGUGAGCCAUGGACAUAGCACUAUAGGUGUAGAAUAUGAUGGGGAUUAUGUGGAGAAGACAAAAAGGAGAAAGUCUCACAUCGACGCGGCUAAUCAACGGGCUAUGGAGAUGCCCAUCAAUUGAUGUCAAUGUGAGGAGUAGGGAUUGCCAUGCAACAGAUGCACUAGAGCUAUAAGUGUAUGGAAGCUCAAACUGAAACUAAGUGGGUGUGCAUCCAACUUGCUUGCUCAUGAAGACCUCGGGCAUUUAGGAAGCCCAUCAUCGGAAUAUACAAGCCAAGUUCUAUAAUGAAAAUUCCCACUAGUAUAUGAAAGUGAUAACUCAAGAGACUCUCUAUAUGAAGAACAUGGUGCUACUUUGAAGCACAAGUGUGGUAAAAGGAUAGUAACAUUGCCCCUUCUCUCUUUUUCUCUCAUUUUUUCUUUUUUUUUCUUUUUUUGGGCCUUCUCUUUUUUUGGCCUUUCUCUCUCUUAUAUAUAUAUAUAUAUAUAUAUUUAUUUUUAUUUUCGUCCAGAGUCUCAUCCCGACUUGUGGGGGAAUCAUAGUCUCCAUCAUCCUUUCCUCACUGGGGCAAUGCUCUAAUAAUGAUGAUCAUCACACUUUUAUUUACUUACAACUCAAUAUUACAACUCGAUACUAGAACAAAGAUAUGACUCUAUAUGAAUGCCUCCGGCGGUGUACCGGGAUGUGCAAUGAUCUAGCGUAGCAAUGACAUAAAAAAACGGACAAGCCAUGAAAACAUCAUGCUAGCUAUCUUACGAUCAUGCAAAGCAAUAUGACAAUAAAUGCUCAAGUCAUGUAUAUGAUGAUGAUGGAAGUUGCAUGGCAGUAUAUCUCGGAAUGGCUAUGGAAAUGCCAUGAUAGGUAGGUAUGGUGGCUGUUUUGAGGAAGAUAUAAGGAGGUUUAUGUGUGAUAGAGCGUAUCGUAUCACGGGGUUUGGAUGCACCGGCGAAGUUUGCACCAACUCUCGAGGUGAGAAAGGGCAAUGCACGGUAACGAAGAGGCUAGCAAUGAUGGAAGGGUGAGAGUGUGUAUAAUCCAUGGACUCAACAUUAGUCAUAAAGAACUCACAUACUUAUUGCAAAAAUCUAUUAGUCAUCGAAGCAAAGUACUACGCGCAUGCUCCUAGGGGGAUAGAUUGGUAGGAAAAGACCAUCGCUCGUCCCCGACCGCCACUCAUAAGGAAGACAAUCAAUAAAUACCUCAUGCUCCAACUUCGUUACAUAACGGUUCACCAUACAUGCAUGCUACGGGAAUCACAAACCUCAACACAAGUAUUUCUACAAUCCACAACCACCCACUAGCAUGACUCUAAUAUCACCAUCUUUAUAUCGCAAAAUUAUUGCAAGGAAUCAAACAUAUCAUAUUCAGUGAUCUACAAGUUUUAUGUAGGAUUUUAUGACUAACCAUGUGAAUGACCAAUUCCUGUCAUCUCUCUAAAUAGAUAUAAGUGAAGCAAGAGAGUUUAAUUCUUUCUACAAAAGAUAUGCCCACGCUCUAACAAAUAUAAGUGAAGCAAAAGAGCGUUCUACAAAUGGCGGUUUUCUAUGUGAAGAGAAACAGGCAAUCCAUACUUCAAAUGAUAUAAGUGAAGCACAUGAAGCAUUCUAUAAAGCCGUACUCAAAAGAUAUAAGUGAAGUGCAAUGAGCAUUCUAUAAAUCAACCAAGGACUAUCUCAUACCAGCAUGGUGCGUAAAAGAAAAAUGAAAACUAAAUGAAAAAGACGCUCCAAGAUUUGCACAUAUUGCAUGAACGAAACGAAUCCGAAAACAUACCGAUACUUGUUGAAGAAAGAGGGGAUGCCUUCCGGGGCAUCCCCAAGCUUAGACACUUGAGUCUCCUUGAAUAUUUACUUGGGGUGCCUCGGGCAUCCCCAAGCUUGAGAUCUUGCCUCUCUUUCUUCUUCUCACAUCGAGACCUUCUCGAUCAUCGAACACUUCAUCCACACAAAACUUCAACAGAAAACUCGGUAAGAUCCGUUAGUAUAAUAAAGCAAAUCACUACUCUGAGUACUGUUACAAACCAAUUCAUAUUUUGUUUUUGCAUUGUGUCUGCUGUAUUAUAACUUUUUCAUGGCUUAGUCCACUGAUAUAAAUUGAUAGUUUCAUCAAAACAAGCAAACUAUGCAUCAAAAACAGAAUCUGUCUAAAACAGAACAGUCUGUAAUAAUCUGAACAUUCACCAUACUUGUGAUACUUGAAAAAAUCUGCCAAAAUUAGGAGAAAUAAAAAAUUUGUAUACAAAGACAGUGCAAAAAUAAUCAGAACCAGUUGACGUUCCAGUAAAAAAUUAAAAAUCGCGCACUACAUCCAAAGUUUCUGUCCUGCACCGCACAAACCAACAAGCAUUGUCAACAUCCUAAAGGAAAACCUUGACACAUUAUUUUUAUAAUACAAUGGAAUUGUACAAGAGGAUAAUUAUUUCUGUUGAAAAGUUUCUGUAAUCAAGAUUCACAAAGUUUCCGUGAGCAUGAACAAAGUUCAAGGAGCUCUCCCACUUCAACAAUGCUUGUCUUUCUCAUUUUCACUUUCCUUUUUGAAAAGUUUUAGGUUCCCCUCUUUAUUUUUUUUGUUUUUAAACUAUGUAAAAGCACUCAACAGAAAUAAAUGACUCUCUAAAACUUCCGGGUUGUCUCCCUGGCAGCGCUUUCUUUAAAGCCAUUAAGCUAGGCAUUUAGUGCUCAAGUAAUGAAUCCACCCGGAUCCCAAGGUAUAUCAAAGCCAAUUUUAAUUAGCAAUGAUUUGGCAUUUAGUAGUGAGCACGAAGUAACAUAUAUCAUGAAACAACGAAGUCUAAAUCUCUUCCUAUGCAUCGGCAUGUCAUAAAAGAACAAUUCAUGCACACAAAGUAAAGGCCAAUGCAUAGUAUAAACAGUUUCUUGCAAUUUUAUCGUGUUGGAAGCAUAGAGAGGUGGAGAUAUAUGGUUCCUCUCUCAUAAUAAUUGCAAGUAGGAGCAGCAAGCACAUGCAUAUUAUAUUCAUCAAAAUCAUCAUGUGCAACGGUAAAAGGCAACCCAUCAAUAUAAUCCUUAAUAAGGGCAAACUUCUCCGAUAUAGUGUAGUUUGGAGAAUUCAAAAAGAUAAUAGGACUAUCAUGUGUGGGUGCAAUAGCAACAAUUUCAUGUUUAACAUAAGGAACUAUAGCAAGUUCAUCUCCAUAAGCAUAAUUCAUAUUGGCAUCUUGGCCACAAGCAUAGCAAGCAUCAUCAAAAAGGGAUAUUUCAAGAGAAUCAACGGGAUCAUAACAAUCAUCAUAGCAAUCAUCCUUCGGUAAGCACGAAGGGAAAUUAAACAAUGUAUGAGUUGAAGAGUUACUCUCAUUAGAAGGUGGGCACGGGUAGCUAAUCCGCUCUUCCUCCUUUUGUUCUUCGCUCUCCUCAUCAUCUUUUUCAUCCAAUGAGCUCACAGUUUCAUCAAUUUCUUCUUCCAUAGAUUCCUGCAAAAUAUUAGUCUCUUCUUGGACAGCGGAGUAGUCCUCAAUAUAUGGUUCAACAUAGGCACUAGAAGCAUAAUUAUCAUAGCAAUAUUUAAGUAUGGCAAAAUUUUCAGAUUUGUAAAGAGUAGCAUCAUACUUUUCAAUCAAAGAAGCAAUUUCAUAAGCACCCUUAAAAGCAACAAAUUCUUCAAUUUGUUGAACAUCAUGGUAAUUAUAAACACCUUUAGCAUAAGAAGAUAAGAUUCCAUUAUCACUAAACUCACAUUGGUAGGGAAGGUGUUUCUUAGGGUUUUCAGAACAACAAGUAAAAUCAUAUAUAUAACAUAAAUUCCAAGCAUAGCAUUGCAAACGAUGAAUUUGACCCAGUAAAAGUUUCCCUUUUUUAGAUAUACGGUGUCGUACAUAACAAGCAUGCUCAUCUAAAGAUUUGCCCUCAACUAAGCUAGUUGGGGUUUCAGCCCGAGCACAUAGGGAUCGAAGAUGGUCCAAGUAAUAAGCUUCAGGAGUGUGAUAGAUUUUGAGUGGUUCUUCAACCAUUGGUUCAGUAGGUACAACUAAUUUUUUUUGGUAUUUUGCGUUUCCUACCCAUAGCUAAAGAUAGAAAACAACUAAGAACAGCAAAUAAAAAUUACUUAGUGAUAAAGCAAACAAGCACACACGAGAAUAUUCACCCCACGCUAUGACUCCCCGGCAACGGCGCCAGAAAAAGGUCUUGAUAACCCACAAGUAUAGGGGAUCAAUUGUAGCCUAUUUCGAUAAGUAAGAGUGUCGAACCCAGCGAGGAGCUAAAGGUAGACCACAUAUUCCCUCAAGUUCUAUCGACCACCGAUACAACUCUACGCACACUUGACGUUCGCUUUACCUAGAACAAGUAUGAAACUAGAAGUACUUUGUAGGUGUUUCCGGAUAGGUUUGCAAGAUAAUAAAGAGCGCGUAAAUAAAAACUAGGGGCUGUUUAGAUAAGGACACAAUAAAGUAAAUAUAGCGAGUGUGGAAAAGUGGUGGUAGGAGUUGCGAAAUUGUCCCUAAGCAAUUGACUACUUUACUAGACCGAUAGCAAGUAUCAUGUGGGAGAGGCCACUGCUAGCAUGUCAUCCCUUACUUGGAAUUCUAUGCUCUUAUGAUUGGAACUAUUAGCAAGCAUCCGCAACUACUAACGUUCAUUAAGGUAAAACCCAACCAUAGCAUUAAGAUAUAUUGGCCCCCCUUCAAUCCCGUAUGCAUCAAUUUCUAUGCUAGGCCGAAGCUUCUGUCACCCUUGCCCUCCAAUACAUAGUCCUAUCAACAUACAGCUAACCCUAUGGUGUGAUCCACGCGCACGCUCAUAUGAUGGGCACCAAAGGACAGCAACAUAACCACAAGCAAAUUAAAUCAAUCAUAGCAAUUCAUCAACCACCGAUAGGACAACGAAAAUCUACUCAGACAUCAUAGGAUGGCAACACAGCAUUGGAUAAUAAUAUGAAGCAUAAAGCACCAUGUUCAAGUAGAGGGUAUAGCGGGUUGCGGGAGAGUGGACCGCUGUAGAUAGAAGGGGGAAAGGUGAUGGAGAUGUUGGUGAAGAUGGCGGAGGUGUUGGUGAAGAUGGCGGUGAUGAUGAUGGCCCCCGACGGCGUUCUGGCGCCACCGGAAGCGAGGGGGAGAGAGCCCCCCUCCUUCUUCUUCUUCUUCCUUGACCUUCUCCCUAGAUGGGAGAAGGGUUUCCCCUCUGGUCCAUGGUCUCCAUGGCGUGGGAGGGGCGAGAGCCCCUCCAAGAUUGGAUCUGUCUCUCUGUCUCUCUCUGUUUCUGCGUUCUUCCUGCUGCCCUUUCACCGUUUCGUGUAUAUAUGGAGAUCCGUAACUCCGAUUGGACUGAAAUUUUCGCCGUGAUUUUUUUGCCAAAAAUUAGCUUUCUUGCGGCCGAAGAAGGACAUCAACUGCCUUACGGGUGGCCCACGAGGGUCAGGGGCGCGCCCAGGGGGCAGACGUGCCCCCUACCUCGUGGCCACCUCGGGCACCGUCUCGCGUUGAUUCUUCUUCCGGAAUUUUCCAAAUAUUCCAAAAAUAUUCUCCGUCCGUUUUUAUCCCGUUUGGAUUCCGUUUGAUAUGGGGUUUCUGUGAAACAUAAAACAUGCAACAAACAGGAACUGGCACUGGGCACUGGAUCAAUAUGUUAGUCCCAAAAAUAGUAUAAAAAGUUGCCAAAAAGUAUAUGAAAGUUGUAUAAUAUUGGCAUGGAACAAUAAAAAAUUAUAGAUACGACGGAGACGUAUCACUGCCCGUGGCCGCGAUGGCCACGCGCCGGCCAUCCCGCGCCUCCCCAUCGUCUCCCCGGUGGAUAAGGCCACCCCGCCCCUGCCAAACCCUAGCCAGACCCAGAUCCGCCUCCUCCCCCUCGCUCGUUCCCCUCUCCCUCACGCGCUCGCUCCUCCCGAGCGCCACCGUCGCCGUGCGCCGGUCGAGCCCGCGGCUACCGGGUCCCUCCGACCCCGCCGAACUAUUCGGGAGCCCAAGCGACGUCGACCCCUUCGUCCGGUGCCGUUGGAUCAAGUCGGGGAGCAACACAGCAACGCCGGCGACCCGAUCCCCUUCUCCGGCCAUCGCGACGCCGUCGUCGCGAUUCAUCGCCACUGCGCUCCCGUUGCACGCCGGGCCUUCGUGCGCCCACCCGGUGAGCUCCUCCCCUUCUCCCCUCUCUCAAGUAGGCCGCCUCCCUCUCUAGCUAGCUAUCGCCGCACCUGCGAGCUCGCCGUCAUCACCCGCCUCGCCGUCACAGCCACAGCCGCUAUGGCCUGCCACUGAGCACGUGGUCGUGCUUGGUGCAUCGCCACGGAGCCACCCACGCUCGCUCACCGCCCCGUCGCGCAUCGCAGCCCCGCGUCAGCGUUUGCCCGAAGCCGCCAUCGCUUCUGCUCAUCACCGGCGAUGCUCGGGACCUCCCCCGCUCCAGCCACUUGCACCGCUCGACGCGGUGACUUGCCCGCAUCCGAACGCACCGCGCCGCGUGCCAAAUGGGCACCUGCGACGCGAACCCGACGCGCUCCGCCCUUCUUUGGUCGCCGACGCGUCGACGCCGGCGCCGUCUCCGGCCGCCCCCGGCCCGGCUACCGCCCCAGUUCGAUGCGGCUCAUCGCCCUCGACUGAACGCACCCCCGCGCGCGUCAAACGGACGGCGGGGGACGAAUCCCGAUGGUCGCCCGAGCCCUCCGCCGCGAACAGGACUCGUCGGAGCUCACUCCAGUGCUGGUCCGAUGUGGCCCUGCCAUUGGGCCCUCUGUGUCACUGGCAGCUGGGUCCCACGGUCCCUGUUGACCGAGUCAACUUGCUGACUAGACUUGGUCCAGUCGUUGACGAGUGGCCCCCAUCGCUUUUUGAAUUAACUAAAUUAGUUAAAACUAUUUAGUUAAGCUAAUUAAUCAAUGACUGGUGGGCCCAGCCUGUUAUUUAACUAAUCUGAUUAAGUUAGAACCCCCUAUUAACCCUCUGCCCAUGACAUGUGGGUCCUAGGCGUCAGCUUGACAAGUCAAACUGGCUGGUUGACUGCUGAUGUCUGGGUGACAUCGUGCUGACGCAGUACCCCGUUUUUGAAUUAAAGAUAUUUGCAUAAUAUUGUUUAAAUCUUCAGAAAUUCAUAGAAAAUAAACCGUAACUCGGAUGAAAAUGUUUUCUACAUGAAAGUUGCUAAGAAAAAUCCAACGAAUCCGAAUACGCGGUCCGUUUAGCUGUCAGAUGCCUCUAACUAUCUGAACAUGGAACAUUCCCCCUUCGGUCAUCUGUCUGACACAGGUCCGGAACCGGUUAAACUUUCCCGGUUGAAUUCCCCCUUCACCUUUAUCUUGUAGCCAUACGUUAGGUCACACACGGCACAUCAUAUUGCCAUGUUAUGCUUUGUGAUGCUAUGUUUGCUUUAUAUUUACUGUUUCUUCCCCCUCUUCUCUUUUGUAGACCCCGAGAUCGAUGCUGCCCCUGUGAUCGACUACGUCGAUGACGACCCCUCCUUGCUAGAGCAACCAGGCAAGCCCCCCUUUUGAUCAUCUCGAUAUCGCCCAUUCCAUUCUCUCAUGCUUGCAUUAGAUUUUGCUAUUGUUAUUGUUUGCUCCUAUUCUGAUGCAUAGCCUGCUUUUGUAACCUGCUUAUUGUACCUUACCUGCUUAUCCUAAACUGCUUAGUAUAGGUUGGUUAGUGAUCCAUCAGUGACCCCCACCUUGUCCUUGUUGCCCCUGCUCCAUCAUCGAAGACCCAAUCAACGGGAUUGAAGACCAGGCCCCGGCACCACACAUCACUUUCCCCUUAGUUGCUCGACACUACUAGGUUACUAUCGAGUGGCGAGGGUGAGACCUCUACAACACUUCUGAUGUUAACCCUGUAGUGUAGCUAUUCGGUCGUGGUCAUCGAGGGUGAUUCCGCCUUAACCACUUCCGAUACGACUCUGUCGUGCAACCCCUCAAGUGUGAACCUCGGGGGUGGUUCCUCUUACGUUCACCUUGAUGAUUACAUCGAGUGGAAUUCACCGGGGGUGAUUCCUCGGGUUUUCCCCUUGAUGUUUGGACACACGGAUACUUGGACUUUACCACUGUUACUUGGAAAGGUGGGUCGACCCUGAGGGGUACCCGCGAGUGAUGUGGAGACGGGUUGACCUGGAGGGUGCCCGCGAGAUAAUUAUGAGGCUUGGCCGGGAAUUCCUAGCCCUUGCCGCAAGUCCUCGAGACGGGGCAACGGGGUCACAUCUUUCGUGAGUCUCUGCUUGUUACCGUGUGCUCCUAAUCCACUACGAUUUGGAUAUUUGAUCCGAGGGGCCUCUGGCCUGAUAGUACUAACCAUCACGUGGGCAUAGUAUGGGCGUUUUGCGUCGUAUGCAUCAGCCGAAGCUUAAUAGACGUCAGCGACUGAGUGGCGCGCGCCGGAUUGGACUGCGUAAGCACCUGCCUUUUUGAAGGAGGUAGCUAGGUCUGCUCACCGGCCGCGCUCGCAACGUGUAGGAGUUCCCGGGGAGAUGGCCCAUGACCCCUGGGGCAUAGGUUUAGUCCGGCGUGCUGACCUCUCUAUUAAGCCUAGGUCGGGUUGCGGCGUAUUGUUUGGCCGAGGCCGGGCAUGACCCAGGAAAGUGUGUCCGGCCGGAGUUAAUCGAGCGUGAUGGGUAAGUUGGUGCACCCCUGCAGGGAAGAAAACAUCUAUCGAUAGCCUGUCCUACGGUAACGGACACUUGGAGUUGUAUCCCGAUCGAUACAACUAGAACUGGAUACUUGUGAUGAGAAAUGGAUUGUGAUGAGAAUUGGAUAGUAUGGCUCUGGGAUUGCUCUCUCGCAGGGAGUCGAGAAAGGAUCUCUGGCCGAGGUUGAUGACAGUACUACUACUUUACUUUAUGCUACUCUACUCCCUCCUGUUGCUGCAAGAUGGUGGUUUCCAGAAGAUGCUAGUCUUCGAUAGGACUAGGCCUUCUCUCUAUUCUGGCAUUUCUGCAGCCCAGUCCACAUAUACAGCCUUCCUUUGAUAAUGUUGCAUAUGUAGUGUAGAUCCUUGCUUGCGAGUACUUUGGAUGAGUACUCACGGUUGCUUUGCUCCCCCCUUUCCCCCCUUUCUUCUUCUUUCUGGUUGAUGCAACCAGAUGUCGGAGCCCAGGAGCCAGAUGCCACCGCCGAUGCCUACUACUACGUGGAUACCGCUGACGACCAGGAGUAGUUAGGAGGCUCCCAGGCAGGAGGCCUUGCCUUUUCGAUCGAUGUUGCUUUUGUGCUAGCCUUCUUAAGGCUAACUUGUCUAACUCAUGUCUGUACUCAGAUAUUGUUGCUUCCGCUGACUCUUGUGUAUUCGAGCUUAUGUAUUCGAGCCCUCGAGGCCCCUGGCUUGUAAUAUAAAGCUUGUAUUAUUUUAAUUUAUGUCUAGAGUUGUGUUGUGAUAUCUUCCCGUGAGUCCUUGAUCUUGAUCGUACACAUUUGCGUGUAUGAUUAGUGUACGAUUGAAUCGAGGGCGUAACAUCCUUCCUCCUCCUUUCUCCAAAAAUCAGAUCUGGAGACAAAAAAGGAGACCUACCUCCCCCCCCAAAGGUAAGCACCACCUCCCCCCUCCCCUGACUCCUCACUCUUCCCUACUCAACCACCCCAGCCCUUCCCUACUUGAACAUCAACUAGUUUUUAGUUCGUUCUUUUGAUCUGGUAAAAAAAUAAGAGCAACUUGUAGACUGCUUUCAGCCAACCCUAUGUAUGGCAUGCAUCUUGAGCAACUUUUAUGAGACAAAAAAGCAACACCAGUACAAAAAUAGGGCAACUCUAGUGCGAAAAAAAUGCAGGACCAUUGCACAGUUUUGCAGGUGCAUUGCAACGCCAAAACCUAAUUUCUCUAUAUUGUAUGCAUUGAAACCUACUUGACUUUCUUUCCUAUCCUAGUAUAAGGUGCUUAGGGUUCAUGAGCGACCCUGGUCAGGAAACAAACCUGGCAACUUGAACAGUUAACUGAGGCAACUAUGUUCAUUUUUGAUGCAACUCUGAUAAAAAAAGCUGUGCAAACGUAUCUGUUCAAAUAAUCUAGAGUUGCCUCUAUCAGAUGUAAGAACAUGGCAAACUCUAGUACUAAAACACAUGCAACUGCCUGUGCAUGAAAGCAUGCACUUCCAAGAACAUAAAAUGCAUGUUAGAAGCGGGGUAGAAAGUAGUAACUUGCAUGUGUUAACACACAACUUUUGUCAUAUCAGAAUGGUUCUCGCUGAAAAGACACAAACGACAAACGCAUAAAACGACGGACACGUAAUAAACAGAUUCGAACAAUCCCACACUAAGAUACUUUGCUACAUUGCAUAUGUUCUCACUAAAAAAUAAAUAAAAAGGGCAUAAACUACACCAAAUGAUAGGCCUUCUGCUCCUGGCAAGCUCUUCGUAAGAUAUGCACGUUAUUUCCCAUCGUCAAAAGUUGUAAUCUGCUGCUGAAAAAAGGCACAAAUGAAAAAGCGCAUGUCAUGUAAAACAAAUCUUUGCUGCUAUAUAUGUGUGCCAUACUGGUAGAAACAUAAAACGUAUAAGAAAAAAGAGAAACAAGAAACUUUUGAGAAAAAAGAAGAUAAAAAUUGCCCCUGUUUAACUUUAUAGUUGCCCAAACAAGUGUUUAUAGUUGCUCCUUUUAUUCUACAACUAGUUUGUUCGAAAAGGUCAUGCAUGCUUUUGUGGUGGGCUAACACACAGUUUGUUGCAGGUUGAUUGUUCAUGAUGAUUGAUCAGAAUGAACCACCGCUUGACGUAGAGUCCAUCAACAUUUCAGUCGAGUUGGGUGCACCCUUCUUGCAUGCAAGGGAUGAGCAGGAGCAUCAACAUUUGGAGGAGGAGGUUGGUGAGUCUCUUGACCCCAACGUUGGCUCUAACACUAAUCAUGUCCCGAACAAUCGUGUUGCUGCUCCCCCACCUCCUGCUAAUGCUUUAGUUCAUGUGGCACUGAUACGUCUCCAACGUAUCUAUAAUUUUUGAUUGUUCCAUGCUAUAUUAUAUUCUGUUUUGGACAUUAUUGGGCUUUAUUAUACACUUUUAUAUUAUUUUUGUGCUAACCUAUUAACCGGAGGACCAGCCCAGAAUUGCUGUUUUUUGCCUAUUUCAAAGUUUCGCAGAAAAAGAAUAUCAAACGGAGUCCAAACGGAAUGAAACCUUCGGGAACAUGAUUUUCGGAACGAACGUGAUCCAGAGGACUUGGACCCUACGUCAAGACCCCCCAGGCGCGCCCUCCACCCUCGUGGGCCCCCUGUUGCUCCACCGACGUACUCCUUCCUCCUAUAUAUACCUACGUACCCCCAAACUACCAGAUACGGAGCCAAAAACCUAAUUCCACCGCCGCAACCUUCUAUACCCGUGAGAUCCCAUCUUGGGGCCUGUUCCGGAGCUCCGCCGGAGGGGGCAUCGAUCACGGAGGGCUUCUACAUCAACACCAUAGCCUCUCCAAUGAUGUGUGAGUAGUUUACCUCAGACCUUCGGGUCCAUAGUUAUUAGCUAGAUGGCUUCUUCUCUCUUUUUGGAUCUCAAUACAAUGUUCUCCCCCUCUCUCGUGGAGAUCUAUUCAAUGUAAUCUUCUUUUGCGGUGUGUUUGUUGAGACCGAUGAAUUGUGGGUUUAUGAUCAAGUUUAUCUAUGAACAAUAUUUGAAUCUUCUCUGAAUUCUUUUAUGUAUGAUUAGUUAUCUUUGCAAGUCUCUUUGAAUUAUCAGUUUGGUUUGGCCUACUAGAUUGAUCUUUCUUGCAAUGGGAGAAGUGCUUAGCUUUGGGUUCAAUCUUGCGGUGUCCUUUCCCAGUGACAGUAGGGGCCGCAAGGCACGUAUUGUAUUGUUGCCAUCAAGGAUAACAAGAUGGGGUUUAUAUCAUAUUGCAUGAGUUUAUCCCUCUACAUCAUGUCAUCUUGCUUAAAGCGUUACUCUGUUCUUAUGAACUUAAUACUCUAGAUGCAUGUUGGAUAGCGGUCGAUGUGUGGAGUAAUAGUAGUAGAUGCAGGCAGGAGUCGGUCUACUUGUCUCGGACGUGAUGCCUAUAUACAUGAUCAUACCUAGAUAUUCUCAUAACUAUGCUCAAUUCUAUCAAUUGCUCAACAGUAAUUUGUUCACCCACCGUAAUACUUAUGCUCUUGAGAGAAGCCACUAGUGAAACCUAUGGCCCCCGGGUCUAUUUUCCAUCAUAUUAAUCUUCCAACACUUAGUUAUUUUUAUUGCCUUUUAUUUUACUUUGCAUCUUUAUCAUAAAAAUACCAAAAAUAUUAUCUUAUCAUAUCUAUCAGAUCUCACUCUCGUAAGUGACCGUGUAGGGAUUGACAACCCCUUAUCGCAUUGGUUGCACGGAUUUAUUUGUUUGUGUAGGUGCGAGGGACUCAUGCGUGGCCUCCUACUGGAUUGAUACCUUGGUUCUCAAAAACUGAGGGAAAUACUUACGCUACUUUGUUGCAUCACCCUUUCCUCUUCAAGGGAAAACCAACGCAGUGCUCAAUAGGUAGCAAGAAGGAUUUCUGGCGCCGUUGCCGGGGAGGCUUACGCAAGGUCAAGUCAAGAUUUGGACUCCCGACAACGAGCCAUUUCUGGCGCCGUUGCCGGGGAGUCUACGCAAAAGUCAACAUACCAAGUACCCAUCACAAACCCUUAUCUCCCGCAUUACAUUAUUUGCCAUUUGCCUCUCGUUUUCCUCUCCCCCACUUCACCCUUGCCGUUUUAUUCGCCCUCUCUUUUCAAGUUCGCCUUUUUCGCUCGCUUCUUGUUUGCUCGUGUGUUGGAUUGCUUACUUGUCACGAUGGCUCAAGAUAAUACCAAAUUGUGUGACUUUACCAAUACCAACAAUAAUGAUUUCCUUAGCACUCCGAUUGCUCCUCUUACCGAUACCGAAUCUUGUGAAAUCAAUGCUGCUUUGUUGAAUCUUGUCAUGAAAGAUCAAUUCGCCGGCCUUCCUAGUGAAGAUGCCGCUACCCAUCUAAAUAGCUUCGUUGAUUUGUGUGAUAUGCAAAAGAAGAAAGAUGUGGACAAUGAUAUUGUUAAAUUGAAGCUAUUUCCUUUUUCGCUUAGAGAUUGUGCUAAAGCUUGGUUUUCAUCUUUGCCUAAAAAUAGUACUGAUUCUUGGAAUAAGUGCAAAGAUGCUUUUAUCUCUAAGUAUUUUCCUCCCGCUAAGAUCAUCUCUCUUAGAAACGAUAUUAUGAAUUUUAAGCAACUUGAUCAUGAACAUGUUGCACAAGCUUGGGAGAGGAUGAAAUUAAUGAUACGUAAUUGCCCUACGCAUGGUUUUAAUUUGUGGAUGAUUAUACAAAAUUUUUAUGCCAGAUUGAAUUUUGCUUCUAGAAAUCUUUUAGAUUCGGCCGCAGGAGGCACUUUUAUGGAAAUCACUUUAGGAGAAGCUACUAAACUCCUAGAUAAUAUUAUGGUUAAUUAUUCUCAAUGGCACACUGAAAGAUCUACUAAUAAAAAAGCGCAUGCGAUAGAAGAAAUUAAUGUUUUGAGUGGAAAGAUGGAUGAACUUAUGAAAUUAUUUGCUACUAAGAGUGUUUCUUCUGAUCCUAAUGAUAUGCCUUUGUCUACUUUGAUUGAGAAUAAUAAUGAAUCUAUGGAUGUGAAUUUUGUUGGUAGGAAUAAUUUUGGUACAACGCGUAUAGAGGAAACUUUAAUCCUAGGCCUUAUCCUAGCAAUUCCUCUAAUAACUAUGGUAAUUCAUACAACAAUUCUUAUGGAGACUUUAAUAAGAUGCCUUCUGAAUUUGAGGCUAGUGUUAAGGAAUUUAUGAAUUCGCAAAAGAAUUUCAAUGCUUUGCUUGAAGAAAAAUUGCUUAAAGUUGAUGGAUUGGCUAGGAACGUCGAUAGAAUUUCUCUUGAUGUUGAUUCUUUAAAACUUAGAUCUAUUCCUCCUAAGCAUGAUAUCAAGGAGUCUCUCAAAGCCAUGAGAAUUUCCAUUGAUGAGUGCAAAGAAAGAACUGCUAGGAUGCGUGCUAAGAAAGAUUGCUUUGUGAAAGCGUGUUCUUCUAGUUUCUAUGAAAAUAAAUAUGAAGAUCUAAAAGUUAUUGAUGUGUCCCCUAUUAAAUCUUUGUUUUUCAAUAUGAAUCUUGAUAAUGAUGGGACUGAAUAUGAUCUAUCUUUACCUAGAAGGCGUUCCAGAAAUUCGGAGUUUUUAGAUCUUGAUGCUAAAAUUGAUAAAAGUGGGAUUGAAGAGAUCAAAACAUUAGAUAUUAAUGAACCCACGAUUUUGGAUUUCAAGGAAUUUAAUUAUGAUAAUUGAUCUUUGAUAGAUUGUAUUUCCUUGUUGCAAUCCGUGCUAAAUUCUCCUCAUGCUUAUAGUCAAAAUAAAGCCUUUACCAAACAUAUCAUUGAUGCUUUGAUGCAAUCUUACGAAGAAAAGCUUGAGUUGGAAGUUUCUAUCCCUAGAAAACUUUAUGAUGAAUGGGAACCUACUAUUAAAAUUAAGAUUAAAGAUCAUGAAUUCUAUGCUUUGUGUGAUUUGGGUGCUAGUGUUUCCACGAUUCCAAAAACUUUAUGUGAUUUAUUAGGUUUCCGUGAAUUUGCUGAUUGCUCUUUAAACUUGCACCUUGCGGAUUCCACUAUUAAGAAACCUAUGGGAAGAAUUAAUGAUGUUCUUAUUGUUGCAAAUAGGAACUAUGCACCCGUAGACUUUAUUGUUCUUGACAUAGAUUGCAAUCCUUCAUGUCCUAUUAUUCUUGGUAGACCUUUCCUUAGAACGAUUGGUGCAAUUAUUGAUAUGAAGGAAGGGAAUAUUAGAUUCCAAUUUACAUUAAAGAAAGGCAUGGAACACUUCCCUAGAAAGAAAAUAAAAUUACCUUAUGAAUCUAUUAUGAGAGCCACUUAUGGAUUGCCUACCAAAGAUGGCAACACCUAGAUCUAUCCUUGCUUUUAUGCCUAGCUAGGGGCGUUAAACGAUAGCGCUUGUUGGGAGGCAACCUAAUUUUAUUUUUAGUUUCUUUGCUUUUUGCUUCUGUUUAGGAAUAAAUAUUUGGUCUAGCCUCUGGUUAGAUGUGUUUUUAUGUUUUAAUUAGUGUUUUUGCCAAGUUUAACCUAUAGGAUCUUCUUGGAUGAUAGUUAUUUGAUCUUGCUGUAAAUUCCAGAAACUUUCUGUUCAUGAAAAUAAUUGUUAAAAAUCACCAGAACGUGAUAAAAUAUUGAUUCCAAUUGCUUCUGAUCAAUAAACAAAUUGUCUAGGUCUUCCUAUUUUGGCUGAAUUUUUGGAGUUCUGUAAGUUUGCGUUAGUUACAGAUUACUACAGACUGUUCUGUUUUUGACAGAUUCUGUUUUGUGUGUGUUGUUUGCUUAUUUUGAUAAAUCUAUGGCUAGUGAAAUAGUUUAUAAACCAUAGAGAAGUUGGAAUACAGUAGGUUUAACACCAAUAUAAAUAAAGAAUGAGUUUAUUACAGUACCUUGAAGUGGUCUUUGUUUUCUUUCGCUAACGGAGCUUACGAGAUUUUCUGCUGAGUUUUGUGUUGUGAAGUUUUCAAGUUUUGGGUGAAAGAUUUGAUGGAUUAUGGAACAAGGAGUGGCAAAAGCCUAAGCUUGGGGAUGCCCAUGGCACCCCAAGAUAAUCUAAGGACACCUAAAAGCCAAAGCUUGGGGAUGCCCCGGAAGGCAUCCCCUCUUUCGUCUACUUCCAUCGGUAACUUUACUUGGAGCUAUAUUUUUAUUCACCACAUGAUAUGUGUUUUGCUUGGAGUGUCUUGUAUUAUUUGAGUCUUUAUUUGUUAGUUUACCACAAUCAUACUUGCUGUACACACCUUUUGAGAGAGUCACACUUGAUUCGGAAUUUAUUAGAAUACUCUAUGUGCUUCACUUAUAUUUUUUGAGCUAUAUAGUUUUUGCUCUAGUGCUUCACUUAUAUUUUUUAGAGCACGGUGGUGGAUUUGUUUUAUAGAAACUAUUAAUAUCUCAUGCUUCACUUAUAUUAUUUUGGGAGUCUUAAAAUAGCAUGGCAAUUUGCUUUAAUUAAUAUCAUGAGAAAUUUGAUGCUUGAUAAUUGUUUUGAGAUAUAAAGGUAGUAAUAUCAUAGUUGUGCUAGUUGAGUAAUUGUGGAAUUGAAAAAUACAUGUGUUGGAGUUUGUGAUUCCCGUAGCAUGCACGUAUGGUGAACCGUUAUGUAACGAAGUCGGAGCAUGAAGUAUUUGUUGAUUGUCUUCCUUUGUGUGGCGGUCGGGAUCGCGCGAUGGUUAACUCCUACCAACCCUUCCCCUAGGAGCAUGCGUAGUAGUACUUUGCUUUGAGGGCUAAUAAAUUUUUGCAAUAAGUAUAUGAGUUCUUUAUGACUAAUGUGAGUCCAUGGAUUAUACGCACACUUACCUUUCCGCAAUUUUCUAGCCUCUUCGGUACUGCGCAUUGCCCUUUCUCACCUUGAGGGUUGGUGCAAACUUCGCCGGUGCAUCCAAACCCCGUGAUAUGAUAUGCUCUAUCACACAUAAACCUCCUUAUAUCUUCCUCAAAACAGCCAUCAUACCUACCUAUCAUGGCAUUUCCAUAGCCAUUCCGAGAUACAUUGCCAUGCAACUUUCCACCGUUUCAUUUAUCAUGACAUACUCCAUUAUUGUCAUAUUGCUUUGCAUGAUCAUGUAGUUGACAUUGUAUUUGUGGCAAAGCCACCGUUCAUAAUUCUUUCAUACAUGUCGCUCUUGAUUCAUUGCAUAUCCCGGUACACCGCCGGAGGCAUUCAUAUAGAGUCAUAUUUUGUUCUAAGUAUUGAGUUGUAAUUCAUGAGUUGUAAGUAAAUAAAAGUGUGAUGAUCAUCAUUAUUAGAGCAUUGUCCCAAGUGAGGAAAGGAUGAUGGAUACUAUGAUUCCCCACAAGUCGGGAGGAGACUCCAGACUAAAAAAAGACGCCAUAAAAAAAGAGAAAAGGCCCAAAUAAAAAAAAUGAUGAGAGAAAAAGAGAGAAGGGACAAUGUUACUAUCCUUUUACCACACUUGUACUUCAAAGUAGCACCGUGAUCUUCAUGAUAGAGAGUCUCUCAUUUUGUCACUUUCAUAUACUAGUGGGAAAUUUCAUUAUAGAACUUGGCUUGUAUAUUCCAAUGAUGGGCUUCCUCAAAUGCCCGAGGUCUUCGUGAGCAACCAAGUUGGAUGCACACCCACUUAGUUUCUUUUUGAGCUUUCAUACACUUAUAGCUCUAGUGCAUCCGUUGCAUGGCAAUCCCUACUCCUCGCAUUAACAUCAAUUGAUGGGCAUCUCCAUAGCCCGUUGAUUAGCCUCGUUGAUGUGAGACUUUCUCCUUUUUUGUCUUCCCACAUAACCCCUACCAUUAUACCUUAUUCCACCAUAGUGCUAUAUCCAUGGCUUGCGCUCAUGUAUUGCGUAAGAGUUGAAAAGGCUGAAGCGCGUUAAAAGUAUGAACCAAUUGCUUGGCCAAAACCGGGGUCGUACAUGAUAUGAAUAUUUUGUGUGGGGAAGAUGGAGCAUAGCCAGACUAUAUGAUUUUGUAGGGAUAACUUGCUUUGGCUAUGUUAUUUUGAUAAGACAUAAUUGCUUAGUUAGUAUGCUUGAAGUAUUAUUGUUUUUAUGUCAACAUUAAACUUUUAUCUUGAAUCAUAUCAAAUCUGAACAUUCAUGCCACAAUAAGAAGAAUUAUAUUGAAAUUAUGCCAAGUAGCAUUCCACAUCAAGAAUUCUAUUUUUAUCAUUUACCUACUCGAGGACGAGCAUGAAUUAAGCUUGGGGAUGCUUGAUACGUCUCCAACGUAUCUAUAAUUUUUGAUUGUUCCAUGCUAUAUUAUAUUCUGUUUUGGACAUUAUUGGGAUUUAUUAUACACUUUUAUAUUAUUUUUGGGACUAACCUAUUAACCGGAGGCCCAACCCAGAAUUGCUGUUUUUUUGCCUAUUUCAGAGUUUCGCAGAAAAAGAAUAUCAAACGGAGUCCAAACGGAAUGAAACCUUCGGGAACGUGAUUUUCAGAACGAACGUGAUCCAGAGGACUUGGACCCUACGUCAAGACAUCAACGAGGAGGGCGCGAGGUAGGGGGCGCGCCUACCACCCCCCAGGCGCACCCUCCACCCUCGUGGGCCCCCUGUUGCUCCACCGACGUACUCCUUCCUCCUAUAUAUACCUACGUACCCCCAAACUACCAGAUACGGAGCCAAAAACCUAAUUCCACCGCCGCAAUCUUCUGUACCCGUGAGAUCCCAUCUUGGGGCCUGUUCCGGAGCUCCGCCGGAGGGGGCAUCGAUCACGGAGGGCUUCUACAUCAACACCAUAGCCUCUCCGAUGAUGUGUGAGUAGUUUACCUCAGACCUUCGGGUCCAUAGUUAUUAGCUAGAUGGCUUCUUCUCUCUUUUUGGAUCUCAAUACAAUGUUCUCCCCCUCUCUCGUGGAGAUCUACUUGAUGUAAUCUUCUUUUGCGGUGUGUUUGUUGAGACCGAUGAAUUGUUGGUUUAUGAUCAAGUUUAUCUAUGAACAGUAUUUGAAUCUUCUCUGAAUUCUUUUAUGUAUGAUUAGUUAUCUUUGCAAGUCUCUUCGAAUUAUCAGUUUGGUUUGGCCUACUAGAUAGAUCUUUCUUGCAAUGGGAGAAGUGCUUAGCUUUGGGUUCAAUCUCGCGGUGUCCUUUCCCAGUGACAGUAGGGGCAACAAGGCACGUAUUGUAUUGUUGCCAUCGAGGAUAACAAGAUGGGGUUUCUAUCAUAUUGCAUGAGUUUAUCCCUCUACAUCAUGUCAUCUUUCUUAAAGCGUUACUCUGUUCUUAUGAACUUAAUACUCUAGAUGCAUGCUGGAUAGCGGUCGAUGUGUGGAGUAAUAGUAGUAGAUGCAGGCAGGAGUCGGUCUACUUGUCUCGGACGUGAUGCCUAUAUACAUGAUCAUACCUAGAUAUUCUCAUAACUAUGCUCAAUUCUGUCAAUUGCUCAACAGUAAUUUGUUCACCCACAGUAAUACUUAUGCUCUUGAGAGAAGCCACUAGUGAAACCUAUGGCCCCCGGGUCUAUUUUCCAUCAUAUUAAUCUUCCAACACUUAGUUAUUUUUAUUGCCUUUUAUUUUACUUUGCAUCUUUAUCAUAAAAAUACCAAAAAUAUUAUCUUAUCAUAUCUAUCAGAUCUCACUCUCGUAAGUGACCGUGUAGGGAUUGACAACCCCUUAUCGCGUUGGUUGCGAGGAUUUAUUUGUUUCUGUAGGUGCGAGGGACUCGUGCGUGGCCUCCUACUGGAUUGAUACCUUGGUUCUCAAAAACUGAGGGAAAUACUUACGCUACUUUGCUGCAUCACCCUUUCCUCUUCAAGGGAAAACCAACGCAGUGCUCAAGAGGUAGCAGGCGCAUGAGUUUUUUUUUGCGGGGAAGCAGGCACAUGAGUUGGAAGACGAAGAAGCUGGGUCACAGCCACAAUAACCUUAUGUUGGCAUGCGCUUCGACACAUUAGAGGAUGCGAGGGAACACUACAAUCGUUAUGCUUUGAUGGAGGGUUUUUCUAUCAAGUCGAAUACUCCCUCCGUUCCAUAAUAUAAGUCUUUUUAGAGAUUCCACUACAAACUACAUACGGAUGUAUGUAGACGUAGUUUAGAGUGUAGAUUCACUCAUUUUGCUCCGUAUGUAGUCGAUGUUGCAAUCUCUAAAAAGACUUAUAUUUAGGAACGGAGGGAGUAUGUCUUAUAGGUUAGCCUACACAUGCAUGCUGGAAAAACAACAAUUCUGCUGUAACAAGUUCCGCAAACCAGUUGAGAGGAUUGAGAUCCCGGAUGUUGCCUUGUCAAGCAAAAACACUACAUGCUUGAGUUCACCUGAACAAGAUGUUGAAGAGGAUGGCGAGGAACACACUUACAAGAAGAAGAGGAAGCGAGAAACUGUGAAGCAAACAAAAUGUCGUGCUAAGAUGGUGGUGAAGCUUAUAGAUGACAGAUGUGAGGUUACCACUUUUAUUGCAGAUCACAACCACCCACUGAUUGACAAGCCAUCGCUUUUGAAAUACCUCCAUUCUCACCAAGGCAUCCCGCCGGAAGAGAAAAAAUUUCUUACUCACCUUAACGACUGCAACUUGACAGCAGGUACAACUCACAUUGAAUUAAAUCUUGUUACUAGAGAACUGUUACUUAUUCCUGCGUCAAGUACUUUGACCUGAGGCAACUAUGUUCAUAUUUUAUGCAACUAUGUUCAUUUUUUAUUCAACUCUGAUAAAGCAUGACCCAACAGAAAACCUUGGUGUUGCCUAUUCCUACCUCAACUACUUGGCUUUCUUUCCUAUCCUAGUAUAAGGUGCUUAGGGUUCUGACCCUGAUCAGCAAAAAACCCAGACAACUUGAACACUAAACUAAGGCAACUAUGUUCACUUUUGGUGCAACUAUGACAAAUAAAAAAAAGCAUCACCCAGCAGAAAAAAACACUUGGUGAGGAAACAGACUUGGUCUUGUUCUACUUAUGCAUAAUUGUUGCUUUAUGUUCUCUAUAAAAACAAGUUGCUCGCUGCAUUGUGGUUAGUUUGUCUUGAAACACAAGUUUCUGUUUUUUUAUGACAGGAAAGAUGAUGAUGAUAAUGUCAUCAUACUACGGAUCAGAGUUAAUUGUUCCGUACACAGCUAAAGCCAUCCAUAACCACUGUUCGAAGGUCAAUGCCCCAACUAAGGACAUUGAGAUUGAAGAAACACUAAACUUCUUUUGCAAGGUGAUGGAAAACGACCCAGGAUUCUUCUUUAAAUGCAAGACAGAUGCGGAAGGCAGGACAUAAAACUUGUUUUGGGUGGAUAUGGUGUGGCGCGGAAAGCAUACGCGGAGGCUUAUCAUGAUUGCAUAUCAUUUGAUGCAACUUAUCUCACGAACAUGUACAAUAUGCCGUUUUCCCCCUUCAUUGGCAUCAACAGACAUGGGCAGUCAAUUAUGCUUGGAUGUGGAUUUGUGCAGCAGGAACUAGCCUCAAGUUAUGACUGGUUGUUUGAUGCUUUCCUAGAGGCAAUGGAUGGUUUGGCUCCGGACAACAUCAUCACGGACCAAGAUGUUGCUAUGGCACAAUAUAUCAAGAGGAAGUUCCCAGCAACGAUUCACCGCUGUUGCCGUUGGCAUAUAAUGAAUAAAGCACAAGAGAAGCUUGGCCCUGUGUUGGCUAGGAACCCAGAUUUGGUGAAAGACUUCAAUGAAUGCACUGACUUCAGUUUCACCCCGGCUGAGUUUGAAAGGAAAUGGGCUGCGCUUCAAUUGAAAUAUGAAGGUCUUAUGCAUGGCCACUUUGAGAAACUCUAUGAAUACCAGGCUACAUGGGUGCAGUGUUAAUUCAAAUUCAGGUUCUUCCCUUUCCUUCAGUCAACGCAACGUAGCGAAGGGUUCAAUGCUGUCUUGAAGCGCUAUGUGAACCCACACAAGUCAAUUCUCAACUUCGUCAAGCAACAUGAGAAGAUUCAGGUACACAUACUCGUGAGGGAGGGCGGGAACGACUACCGAACAGAGCAUCUAGAUGCACAAAGAUGGUCGUGUUUCCCCAUUGAGAAGCAUGCCUACAAGGCAUACACUAGGGACAUCUAUGUGGAAUUUAGAACUGAGUUUCAGAUGAUUGGCCAGUACGAUGUGCACCCAGCUGGAAUCAACUUCUAUCACCUUGAGCCCAAUACAGAAGAAGUUCUAGGGUAUGGCUCAAGGAAGUACCUAGUCACAGUGAGGCCAGAGCCAGCAAUCUAUGAUUGUGAAUGUUGCAAGUGGCAUAGGGACGGCAUACUUUGUUGCCAUGUCUUGAAGAUCUUCACACACCUUGGCGUCAAUGAGAUACCUGCACACUACAUCAAGCACCACUGGACGCAGGAUACGGUGCCAAGUGCACCACCGCCAACUAAUGAGGGCCCUCCACCGGACUUGCCCGCUGAGUCGGAGAACCAGGUUCGGCAAGUGACUCUGACAAUGGAUUUUGCAAAGCUAGCCAAGAAGGCAAUGACUAGUGAUGAGGCAGCCGCUGCAGCUAGGAGGCACAUGAAAGCAGCAGAUAUUGAGGUCACUAAGCUGAAUAAACUAAGGAAGAAGAGGCUAAAGGCAGCCCGAGAAGCGGCUCGGGCUAGGGAAGCAUCAAACCAUAAUGCCCCAAGUUGUUCAAACCAACCUCCUGCCCCCCUGCCCCUGCUCCUAUGGAUCCACCUCGGUCAGUCACAAAAGGGCACAACCGCAACAGGCGCUUCAAAUCAACCCUGGAGCUACACCCUAAGAAAAAGAACAAGUGCAACAUUUGUGAAUCAAUCGAUCACCCUACUGCGACAUGCCUAGGGAAGCUGCUGUGAUCGUUACCACAUGAAGAUAAUGACCCCUGGGCUUGCAAACUAGCUGAAGCAAAAAAGCAAGAGUGUCCUGGUAGAUGAAGCAAUUGUGGUCUAGUUUCUGAGCAGAUGUAGAAGGGAAAUCAAGCAAAUGCCAGUUUAAAAAAGCAACUAUGAAAUGAUUUGCAGGGACUUGUUUUAAUUUAUGUGUUUUCCUAGCUUUAAAUUCACAAAUGUGGAGGUGGAUGCUUGACAUUUGUGCUUAUAUUCCUUACUCAUAAACUUGCAAAACCUAUGGACGCUUAUGAUUUAUGCAAACUUGUUAUAGGUGGUUUUGGAACAAACUUUUGCGAGUUUUCUAAUGGAACACAUUAGCAUUCGCAUUUGUGUUCUCUAAUGGCACAUAUUGAUCAGGAAAAAUAAAAAAAAUGUACCUAGUUAUUCGUUCACUUGUUGACCGGUUUGAGGAUCUCCUGCCAUAGAAUCUUAUUCAGGUCACACUUUAGCAUGGAGAUGGUCAUUUUCUUCCUAAUGUUUGGUAUGUUGCUUUGUCCGUAGUUUAGGAGCCAUGUCCCGUUCCACAAUAACGCGUUCAUCAAUGCGAAUAUGCUACAGUCACCACUGCAAAAAAGACAAAAUGUCGAGAAAGCACUUGCAAAAAAAGGCAAAACUCCGUCUUAUAACAACGAGAUGUAUGUAGGUGGGUUAGUCCUUACGAUACAGUCUGCUUUGGUGCAUUGAUAUCCAGAAGCGGGAACUUGUCCAUUGUCUUUGCUUGUUUUGGAUAGUAUUUGUCCCACAACACACGAACUGUUGCUACAACAGCCCUUGCUACAUCAUCUAGCCUCUUGCUUUUUUUAACAUCCUCCAUGAGUCAAACACUUCGAACCUUUUGUCCCUCAGAUUGAUGUUGAAUAGCCAGUAGUGGUGUGCACCUUCGUCAUUAUCUGGAUCUAAAUUUUCAAGCACAGGAAUCAUAACCUUAAAAAAAACCAUGUCAGCUAUAACAGAAAAGGUGGUGCAUAACAAGGACAUCAACUGUUGAUAUGAUUUUGGGCAACUCUAUAUGUUUUAGGAGCAACUUCUGAUAUAAUUUUCAGGAAACUCUCAAUAAUUUUAGGUAAGUUCUGAUAUGGCUCUCAAAACACAAAAAAACAUCAAAAAACUUCUGACAUGUGUAUGAAGCUUCUGGUAUGGCUUAUCAGGCAACUCUGUGGGUUUUUAUGAGCAACUUGUGAUGUGAUUCAGGCAACUCCCUAUGAUUUCCCGAUAUCAACUUCUGAAAAAAUGAUCUUAGAAAAAACACCAACUUUCUGAUGUGAUUUCAGGCAACCCUGAGUUUGUAGGAGCAACUUUACUUGAGUCGGUGCAACAGAUAUGUAAAAACCAAAAAAAAAAUCUGACUUCUGAACAACAAAGCACAGGCAAUGCACUUGGUUUUCAACCUGUGCAGAAAAAAUGUCACUAUAACCAUGCACUUUUUAGGCAACAAUGCACUCUAUAACAGGCAACUUAUAUGUAA